CCCGGGAGAGCAGGAGAGAGCAGGGGAACAAGCCAGCAAGCAGGAGAGAGAAGAGAGUGAGCGUCCCUCAGAGCGGGUUGCGCAGGGAGGAGCCCGACCUUCAGCCUCAGCUGGCCAGCGAAGCCCCACGCCGCCCUGCCCAGCCGCCUCCUUCCAAAUCCGCGCUGCUCCCCCCACCGUCCCCUCGGGUCGGGAAGCGGUCCCCGCCGGGACCCCCGGCCCAGCCCGCGGCCACCCCCACGUCGCCCCACCGUCGCACUCAGGAGCCUGUGCUGCCCGAGGACACCACCACCGAAGAGAAGCGAGGGAAGAAGUCCAAGUCGUCCGGGCCCUCCCUGGCGGGCACCGCGGAAUCCCGACCCCAGACGCCACUGAGCGAGGCCUCAGGCCGCCUGUCGGCGUUGGGCCGAUCGCCUAGGCUGGUGCGCGCCGGCUCCCGCAUCCUGGACAAGCUGCAGUUCUUCGAGGAGCGACGGCGCAGCCUGGAGCGCAGCGACUCGCCGCCGGCGCCCCUGCGGCCCUGGGUGCCCCUGCGCAAGGCCCGCUCUCUGGAGCAGCCCAAGUCGGAGCGCGGCGCACCGUGGGGCACCCCCGGGGCCUCGCAGGAAGAACUGCGGGCGCCAGGCAGCGUGGCCGAGCGGCGCCGCCUGUUCCAGCAGAAAGCGGCCUCGCUGGACGAGCGCACGCGUCAGCGCAGCCCGGCCUCAGACCUCGAGCUGCGCUUCGCCCAGGAGCUGGGCCGCAUCCGCCGCUCCACGUCGCGGGAGGAGCUGGUGCGCUCGCACGAGUCCCUGCGCGCCACGCUGCAGCGUGCCCCAUCCCCUCGAGAGCCCGGCGAGCCCCCGCUCUUCUCUCGGCCCUCCACCCCCAAGACAUCGCGGGCCGUGAGCCCCGCCGCCGCCCAGCCGCCCUCUCCGAGCAGCGCGGAGAAGCCGGGGGACGAGCCUGGGAGGCCCAGGAGCCGCGGGCCGGCGGGCAGGACAGAGCCGGGGGAAGGCCCGCAGCAGGAGGUUAGGCGUCGGGACCAAUUCCCGCUGACCCGGAGCAGAGCCAUCCAGGAGUGCAGGAGCCCUGUGCCGCCCCCCGCCGCCGAUCCCCCAGAGGCCAGGACGAAAGCAUCCCCUGGUCGGAAGCGGGAGCCCCCGGCACAGGCCGUGCGCUUCCUGCCCUGGGCCACGCCGGGCCUGGAGGGCGCUGCUGUACCCCAGACCUUGGAGAAGAACAGGGCGGGGCCUGAGGCGGAGAAGAGGCUGCGCAGAGGGCCGGAGGAGGACGGUCCCUGGGGGCCCUGGGACCGCCGAGGGGCCCGCAGCCAGGGCAAAGGUCGCCGGGCCCGGCCCACCUCCCCUGAGCUCGAGUCUUCGGAUGACUCCUACGUGUCCGCUGGAGAAGAGCCCCUAGAGGCCCCUGUGUUUGAGAUCCCCCUGCAGAAUGUGGUGGUGGCACCAGGGGCAGACGUGCUGCUCAAGUGUAUCGUCACUGCCAACCCCCUGCCCCAAGUGUCCUGGCACAAGGAUGGGUCAGCGCUGCGCAGCGAGGGCCGCCUCCUCCUCCGGGCUGAGGGUGAGCGGCACACCCUGCUGCUCAGGGAGGCCAGGGCAGCGGAUGCCGGGAGCUAUAUGGCCACCGCCACCAACGAGCUGGGCCAGGCCACCUGUGCCGCCUCACUGACCGUGAGACCCGGUGGGUCUACAUCCCCUUUCAGCAGCCCCAUCACCUCCGACGAGGAAUACCUGAGUCCCCCAGAGGAGUUCCCAGAGCCUGGGGAGACCUGGCCACGAACCCCCACCAUGAAGCCCAGUCCCAGCCAGAACCGCCGUUCUUCUGACACUGGCUCCAAGGCACCCCCCACCUUCAAGGUCUCACUUAUGGACCAGUCAGUAAGAGAAGGCCAAGAUGUCAUCAUGAGCAUCCGCGUGCAGGGGGAGCCCAAGCCUGUGGUCUCCUGGCUGAGAAACCGCCAGCCUGUGCGCCCAGACCAGCGGCGCUUUGCGGAGGAGGCUGAGGGUGGGCUGUGCCGGCUGCGGAUCCUGGCUGCAGAGCGUGGCGAUGCUGGUUUCUACACUUGCAAAGCGGUCAAUGAGUAUGGUGCUCGGCAGUGCGAGGCCCGCUUGGAGGUCCGAGCACACCCUGAAAGCCGGUCCCUGGCCGUGCUGGCCCCCCUGCAGGACGUGGACGUGGGGGCCGGGGAGAUGGCGCUGUUUGAGUGCCUGGUGGCGGGGCCCACUGACGUGGAGGUGGAUUGGCUGUGCCGUGGCCGCCUGCUGCAGCCUGCACUGCUCAAAUGCAAGAUGCAUUUCGAUGGCCGCAAAUGCAAGCUGCUACUUACAUCUGUACAUGAGGACGACAGUGGCGUCUACACCUGCAAGCUCAGCACGGCCAAAGAUGAGCUGACCUGCAGUGCCCGGCUGACCGUGCGGCCCUCGUUGGCACCCCUGUUCACACGGCUGCUGGAAGAUGUGGAGGUGUUGGAGGGCCGAGCUGCCCGUUUCGACUGCAAGAUCAGUGGCACCCCGCCCCCUGUUGUUACCUGGACUCAUUUUGGCCGCCCCAUGGAGGAGAGUGAGAACUUGCGGCUGCGGCAGGACGGGGGUCUGCACUCACUGCACAUUGCCCAUGUGGGUAGCGAGGAUGAGGGGCUCUAUGCGGUCAGUGCUGUUAACACCCAUGGCCAGGCCCACUGCUCAGCCCAGCUGUAUGUAGAAGAGCCCCGGACAGCCGCCUCAGGCCCCAGCUCGAAGCUGGAGAAGAUGCCAUCCAUUCCCGAGGAGCCAGAGCAGGGUGAGCUGGAGCGGCUGUCCAUUCCCGACUUCCUGCGGCCACUGCAGGACCUGGAGGUGGGACUGGCCAAGGAGGCCAUGCUAGAGUGCCAGGUGACCGGCCUGCCCUACCCCACCAUCAGCUGGUUCCACAACGGCCACCGCAUCCAGAGCAGCGACGACCGGCGCAUGACACAGUACAGGGAUGUGCAUCGCUUGGUGUUCCCUGCCGUGGGGCCUCAGCACGCCGGUGUCUACAAGAGCGUCAUUGCCAACAAGCUGGGCAAAGCUGCCUGCUAUGCCCACCUGUAUGUCACAGAUGUGGUCCCAGGCCCUCCAGAUGGCGCCCCGCAGGUGGUGGCUGUAACGGGGAGGAUGGUCACACUCACAUGGAACCCCCCCAGGAGUCUGGACAUGGCCAUCGACCCGGACUCCCUGACGUACACAGUGCAGCACCAGGUGCUGGGCUCGGACCAGUGGACGGCACUGGUCACAGGCCUGCGGGAGCCAGGGUGGGCAGCCACAGGGCUGCGUAAGGGGGUCCAGCACAUCUUCCGGGUCCUCAGCACCACUGUCAAGAGCAGCAGCAAGCCCUCACCCCCUUCUGAGCCUGUGCAGCUGCUGGAGCACGGCCCACCCCUGGAGGAGGCCCCUGCCAUGCUGGACAAACCAGACAUCGUGUAUGUGGUGGAGGGACAGCCUGCCAGCAUCACCGUCACAUUCAACCAUGUGGAGGCCCAGGUCGUCUGGAGGAGCUGCCGAGGGGCCCUCCUAGAGGCACGGGCCGGUGUGUACGAGCUGAGCCAGCCAGAUGAUGACCAGUACUGUCUUCGGAUCUGCCAGGUGAGCCGCCGGGACAUGGGGGCCCUCACCUGCACCGCCCGAAACCGUCACGGCACACAGACCUGCUCGGUCACAUUGGAGCUGGCAGAGGCCCCUCGGUUUGAGUCCAUCAUGGAGGACGUGGAGGUGGGGGCUGGGGAAACUGCUCGCUUUGCGGUGGUGGUCGAGGGAAAACCACUGCCGGACAUCAUGUGGUACAAGGACGAGGUGCUGCUGACCGAGAGCAGCCAUGUGAGCUUCGUGUACGAGGAGAAUGAGUGCUCCCUGGUGGUGCUCAGCACGGGGGCCCAGGAUGGAGGCGUCUACACCUGCACCGCCCAGAACCUGGCGGGUGAGGUCUCCUGCAAAGCAGAGUUGGCUGUGCAUUCAGCUCAGACAGCUAUGGAGGUCGAGGGGGUCGGGGAGGAUGAGGACCAUCGAGGAAGGAGACUCAGCGACUUUUAUGACAUCCACCAGGAGAUCGGCAGGGGUGCUUUCUCCUACUUGCGGCGCGUAGUGGAGCGUAGCUCCGGCCUGGAGUUUGCGGCCAAGUUCAUCCCCAGCCAGGCCAAGCCAAAGGCAUCAGCGCGUCGGGAGGCCCGGCUGCUGGCCAGGCUCCAGCACGACUGUGUCCUCUACUUCCAUGAGGCCUUCGAGAGGCGCCGGGGACUGGUCAUUGUCACCGAGCUCUGCACAGAGGAGCUGCUGGAGCGAAUGGCCAGGAAACCCACCGUGUGUGAGUCUGAGAUCCGGGCCUAUAUGCGGCAGGUGCUAGAGGGAAUACACUACCUGCACCAGAGCCACGUGCUGCACCUCGAUGUCAAGCCUGAGAACCUGCUGGUGUGGGAUGGUGCUGCGGGCGAGCAGCAGGUGCGGAUCUGUGACUUUGGGAAUGCCCAGGAGCUGACGCCAGGAGAGCCCCAGUACUGCCAGUAUGGCACACCUGAGUUUGUAGCACCCGAGAUUGUCAAUCAGAGCCCCGUGUCUGGAGUCACUGACAUCUGGCCUGUGGGUGUCGUUGCCUUCCUCUGUCUGACAGGAAUCUCCCCGUUUGUUGGGGAAAAUGACCGGACAACAUUGAUGAACAUCCGAAACUACAACGUGGCCUUCGAGGAGACCACAUUCCUGAGCCUGAGCAGGGAGGCCCGGGGCUUCCUCAUCAAAGUGUUGGUGCAGGACCAGCUGAGACCUACCGCAGAGGAGACCCUAGAACAUCCUUGGUUCAAAACUCAGGCAAAGGGCGCAGAGGUGAGCACGGAUCACCUGAAGCUAUUCCUCUCCCGGCGGAGGUGGCAGCGCUCCCAGAUCAGCUACAAAUGCCACCUGGUGCUGCGCCCUAUCCCCGAGCUGCUGCGGGCCCCCCCAGAGCGGGUGUGGGUGACCAUGCCCAGAAGGCCACCCCCCAGUGGGGGGCUCUCAUCCUCCUCGGAUUCUGAAGAGGAAGAGCUGGAAGAGCUGCCCUCAGUGCCCCGCCCACUGCAGCCCGAGUUCUCUGGCUCCCGGGUGUCCCUCACAGACAUUCCCACUGAGGAUGAGGCCCUGGGGACCCCAGAGACUGGGGCUGCCACCCCCAUGGACUGGCAGGAGCAGGGAAGGGCUCCCUCUCAGGACCAGGAGGCUCCCAGCCCAGAGGCCCUCCCCUCCCCAGGCCAGGAGCCCGCAGCUGGGGCUAGCCCCAGGCGGGGAGAGCUCCGCAGGGGCAGCUCGGCUGAGAGCGCCCUGCCCCGGGCCGGGCCGCGGGAGCUGGGCCGGGGCCUGCACAAGGCGGCGUCUGUGGAGCUGCCGCAGCGCCGCAGCCCCAGCCCGGGAGCCACCCGCCUGGCCCGGGGAGGCCUGGGUGAGGGCGAGUAUGCCCAGAGGCUGCAGGCCCUGCGCCAGCGGCUGCUGCGGGGAGGCCCCGAGGAUGGCAAGGUCAGCGGCCUCAGGGGUCCCCUGCUGGAGAGCCUGGGGGGCCGUGCUCGGGACCCCCGGAUGGCACGAGCUGCCUCCAGCGAGGCAGCGCCCCACCACCAGCCCCCACUCGAGAACCGGGGCCUGCAAAAGAGCAGCAGCUUCUCCCAGGGUGAGGCGGAGCCCCGGGGCCGGCACCGCCGAGCGGGGGCGCCCCUCGAGAUCCCCGUGGCCAGGCUUGGGGCCCGUAGGCUACAGGAGUCUCCUUCCCUGUCUGCCCUCAGCGAGGCCCAGCCAUCCAGCCCUGCACGGCCCAGCGCCCCCAAACCCAGUACCCCGAAGUCUGCAGAACCUUCUGCCACCAUACCUAGUGAUGCUCCGCAGCCCCCCGCACCCCAGCCUGCCCAAGACAAGGCCCCAGAGCCUAGGCCAGAACCAGUCCGAGCCUCCAAGCCUGUACCACCCCCCCAGGCCCUGCAAACCCUAGCGCUGCCCCUCACACCCUAUGCUCAGAUCAUUCAGUCCCUCCAGCUGUCAGGCCACGCCCAGGGCCCCCCGCAGGGCCCUGCCGCGUCGCCUUCAGAGCCCAAGCCCCACGCUGCUGUCUUUGCCAGGGUGGCCUCCCCACCUCCGGGAGCCCCGGAGAAGCGCGUGCCCUCAGCCGGGGGUCCCCCGGUGCUAGCCGAGAAAGCCCGAGUUCCUACGGUGCCCCCCAGGCCAGGCAGCAGUCUCAGUAGCAGCAUCGAAAACUUGGAGUCGGAGGCCGUGUUCGAGGCCAAGUUCAAGCGCAGCCGCGAGUCGCCCCUGUCGCUGGGGCUGCGGCUGCUGAGCCGUUCGCGCUCGGAGGAGCGCGGCCCCUUCCGUGGGGCCGAGGAGGAGGAUGGCAUAUACCGGCCCAGCCCGGCGGGGACCCCGCUGGAGCUGGUGCGACGGCCUGAGCGCUCACGCUCGGUGCAGGACCUCAGGGCUGUCGGAGAGCCUGGCCUCGUCCGCCGCCUCUCGCUGUCACUGUCCCAGCGGCUGCGGCGGACCCCUCCCGCGCAGCGCCACCCGGCCUGGGAGGCCCGCGGCGGGGACGGAGAGAGCUCGGAGGGCGGGAGCUCGGCGCGGGGCUCCCCGGUGCUGGCGAUGCGCAGGCGGCUGAGCUCCACCCUGGAGCGGCUGUCCAGCCGAUUGCAGCGCAGUGGCAGCAGCGAGGACUCGGGGGGCGCGUCGGGCCGCAGCACGCCGCUGUUCGGACGGCUUCGCAGGGCCACGUCUGAGGGCGAGAGUCUGCGGCGCCUAGGCCUUCCGCACAACCAGUUGGCCGCCCAGGCCGGCGCCACCACGCCUUCCGCCGAGUCCCUGGGCUCCGAGGCCAGCGCCACGUCGGGCUCCUCAGCCCCAGGGGAAAGCCGAAGCCGGCUCCGCUGGGGCUUCUCUCGGCCGCGGAAGGACAAGGGGUUAUUGCCACCAAACCUCUCUGCCAGCGUCCAGGAGGAGUUGGGUCACCAGUACGUGCGCAGUGAGUCAGACUUCCCCCCAGUCUUCCACAUCAAACUCAAGGACCAGGUGCUGCUGGAGGGGGAGGCAGCCACCCUGCUCUGCCUGCCAGCGGCCUGCCCUGCACCGCACAUCUCCUGGAUGAAAGACAAGAAGUCCUUGAGGUCAGAGCCCUCAGUGAUCAUCGUGUCCUGCAAAGAUGGGCGGCAGCUGCUCAGCAUCCCCCGGGCGGGCAAGCGGCACGCCGGUCUCUAUGAGUGCUCGGCCACCAACGUCCUGGGCAGCAUCACCAGCUCCUGUACCGUGGCUGUGGCCCGAGUCCCAGGAAAGCUAGCUCCUCCAGAGGUACCCCAGACCUACCAGGACACGGCGCUGGUGCUGUGGAAGCCGGGAGACAGCCGGGCACCUUGCACGUAUACGCUGGAGCGGCGAGUGGAUGGGGAGUCUGUGUGGCACCCUGUGAGCUCAGGCAUCCCCGACUGUUACUACAACGUGACCCACCUGCCAGUUGGCGUGACUGUGAGGUUCCGUGUGGCCUGUGCCAACCGUGCUGGGCAGGGGCCCUUCAGCAAUCCUUCUGAGAAGGUCUUUGUCAGGGGUACUCAAGAUUCUUCAGCUGUGCCAUCUGCUGCCCACCAAGAGGCCCCUGUCACCUCAGGGCCAGCCAGGGCCCCGCCUCCUGACUCUCCUACCUCACUGGCCCCACCCCUAGCUCCUGCUGCCCCUACACCCCCAUCAGUCACUGUCAGCCCCUCAUCUCCCCCCACACCCCCUAGCCAGGCCUUGUCCUCGCUCAAGGCUGUGGGUCCACCACCCCAAACCCCUCCACGAAGACACAGGGGCCUGCAGGCGGCCCGGCCAGCGGAGCCCGCCCUACCCAGUACCCACAUCACCCCAAGUGAGCCCAAGCCUUUCGUCCUUGACACUGGGACCCCGAUCCCAGCCUCCACUCCUCAAGGGGUUAAACCAGUGUCUUCCUCUACUCCUGUGUAUGUGGUGACUUCCUUCGUGUCUGCACCACCAGCCCCUGAGCCCCCAGCCCCUGAGCCCCCUCCUGAGCCUACCAAGGUGACUGUGCAGAGCCUCAGCCUGGCCAAGGAGGUGGUCAGCUCCCCUGGGAGCAGUCCUCGAAGCUCUCCCAGGCCUGAGGGUACCACUCUUCGACAGGGCCCCCCUCAGAAACCCUACACCUUCCUGGAGGAGAAAGCCAGGGGCCGCUUUGGUGUUGUGCGAGCGUGCCGGGAGAAUGCCACGGGGCGAACGUUCGUGGCCAAGAUCGUGCCCUAUGCUGCCGAGGGCAAGCGGCGGGUCCUGCAGGAGUACGAGGUGCUGCGGACCCUGCACCACGAGCGGAUCAUGUCCCUGCACGAGGCCUACAUCACCCCUCGGUACCUCGUGCUCAUAGCUGAGAGCUGUGGCAACCGGGAACUCCUCUGUGGGCUCAGUGACAGGUUCCGGUAUUCUGAGGAUGACGUGGCCACUUACAUGGUGCAGCUGCUACAAGGCCUGGACUACCUCCACGGCCGCCACGUGCUCCACCUAGACAUCAAGCCAGACAACCUGCUGCUGGCCCCUGACAAUGCCCUCAAGAUCGUGGACUUCGGCAGUGCCCAGCCCUACAACCCCCAGGCCCUUAGGCCCCUUGGCCACCGCACGGGCACGCUGGAGUUCAUGGCUCCGGAGAUGGUGAAGGGAGAACCCAUCGGCUCUGCCACGGACAUCUGGGGAGCGGGUGUGCUCACUUACAUUAUGCUCAGUGGACGCUCCCCGUUCUAUGAGCCAGACCCCCAGGAAACGGAGACUCGGAUUGUGGGGGGCCGCUUUGAUGCCUUCCAGCUGUACCCCAAUACAUCCCAGAGCGCCACCCUCUUCUUGCGAAAGGUUCUCUCAGUACAUCCCUGGAGCCGGCCCUCCCUGCAGGACUGCCUGGCCCACCCAUGGUUGCAGGACGCCUACCUGAUGAAGCUGCGCCGCCAGACGCUCACCUUCACCACCAACCGGCUCAAGGAGUUCCUGGGCGAGCAGCGGCGGCGCCGGGCUGAGGCUGCCACCCGCCACAAGGUGCUGCUGCGCUCCUACCCUGGCGGCCCCUAGAGGCACGGACCACAGCCAGGCCUCAGGCUUCAACUGGGGUUCCCACCAAUGCCACGGGACAUUCCAGGGCCCACGCUGAGCCAGGCGGGCCUGGGGCUUCGGUUACCACCAGCAGCAACAUCUGGCCGGGCUCUUACCUCAUAGACCUUCAAGGACAGAGACCCCAGGGCCUGGACCUGAUGCCACCCCAGGCCAAAGCCAGAGUGGGAGACCCAUUGGCCAGGCUCAGCAGGGUGGGAACAGGCAGAGGGACAAGAGGGGAAUGGGGAAGUGGAGAGGAAAAGGAAUCGAGGGACAGGAAGGGGGAGGCUCUAGGAAGGUUCUGGGUUGGGGGUCAGUGCAUCUCAGGGAGAACCAAGGAAGGUGGGCAUGGCUGGAGAGGAGGAAAAGGAAGGAGCCCCAGGUGUCAGGGCAGUAGGCUGGGAGUCAGUGUGGCAAAGCGGGGGCAGGACACAGAUACAGUGGCAGGGGCCCAGGGCUGGGACGUGAGAGAAGGCAGUGAGGCGGCAGAGGGAGAAGAGAGGACUCAGGUGGAGGUGGGGUGGGUCAGCUGUCAGCAUCCCUCAGAGGAGAAAGGUGGAGAGCUGGAGGCCAGCAGUCGCUCACACUCGCUCUGUCCUCCUGUCCAGUGGAUACAGCCCUGGGCGCUCUGCUGGCCCAAGGAUGUCCCCACUGCCCCUCCAUGGCCUUUGGCCUUCUUCCCAUUCAUAUUUAUUUAUUUAUUGACUUUUAUGAAGUUUCCCCUUCCAUCCGAUCCCUACUGCCCAUGUUGUCCUGACCAUCCCUCCCAGCCAUCCAGCUGUCUGU
rnacentral:sRNA from 1 species